CGGCCGCGUCGACGUGCAGAGGUAGGCGGAAUUCCCGGUGUAGCGGUGGAAUGCGUAGAUAUCGGGAGGAACACCAGUGGCGAAGGCGGCCUACUGGGCACCAACUGACGCUGAGGCUCGAAAGCAUGGGUAGCAAACAGGAUUAGAUACCCUGGUAGUCCAUGCCGUAAACGAUGAUUACUAGGUGUUGGAGGAUUGACCCCUUCAGUGCCGCAGUUAACACAAUAAGUAAUCCACCUGGGGAGUACGACCGCAAGGUUGAAACUCAAAGGAAUUGACGGGGGCCCGCACAAGCAGUGGGUCGACGCGGCCG
rnacentral:rRNA from 1 species